rnacentral:rRNA from 1 species
UACGUAGGGGGCAAGCGUUGUCCGGAAUCAUUGGGCGUAAAGAGCGUGUAGGCGGUCCGGUCAGUCGGUUGUGAAAGUCAAGGGCUCAACCCUUGAAUGCCGGCCGAUACUGCCGGGCUAGAGUCCGGAAGAGGUGAGUGGAAUUCCUGGUGUAGCGGUGAAAUGCGCAGAUAUCAGGAGGAACACCAAUUGCGAAGGCAGCUCGCUGGGACGUAACUGACGCUGAGACGCGAAAGCGUGGGGAGCAAACAGG